AUUGAACGCUGGCGGCAUGCCUUACACAUGCAAGUCGAACGGUAACGGGCCUUCGGGUGCCGACGAGUGGCGGACGGGUGAGUAAUACAUCGGAACGUGCCAGAUCGUGGGGGGUAACGAGGCGAAAGCUUUGCUAAUACCGCAUACGAUCUACGGAUGAAAGCAGGGGAGCGCAAGGGCUUGCGCGGGUGGUGCGGUCGAUGGUAGAUUAGGUAGUUGGUGGGUUAAAAGCUUACCAAGCCGACGAUCUGUAGCUGGUCUGAGAGGAUGAUCAGCCACACUGGGACUGAGACACGGCCCAGACUCCUACGGGAGGCAGCAGUGGGGAAUUUUGGGCAAUGGGCGCAAGCCUGAUCCAGCCAUGCCGCGUGCAGGAUGAAGGCCUUCGGGUUGUAAACUGCUGUUGUACGGAACGAAAAGCCUUCUUUUAAUACAGGAGGGUCAUGACGGUACCGAAAGAAUAAGCACCGGCUAACUACGUG
rnacentral:rRNA from 1 species